AUUGAACGCUGGCGGCGUGGCUAAAGCAUGCAAGUCGAGCGAACCCGCAAGGGUGAGCGGCGGACGGGUUAGUAAUACGAUCGAACGUGCCCUGAGGCGGGGGAGUAGGCGUGGGAAACGUGCGCGUAAUACCCCACUGAUCUCUCCGGAGCAAAGGUUUAACCUACCUUGGGAGUCGGCGAUCGUCCUAUCAGCUAGUUGGCGGGGUAAAGGCCCACCAAGGCUAUGACGGGUAGCAGGUGNGAGAGCACGACCUGCAACAUCGGGACUGAGACACUGCCCGGACUCCUACGGGAGGCUGCAGCGACGAAUCUUCCGCAAUGGGCGCAAGCCUGACGGAGCGACGCCGCGUGUGGGAUGAAGCGCCUUCGGCGUGUAAACCACUGUCAGGGAACAGAACAA
rnacentral:rRNA from 1 species